AGAGUUUGAUCAUGGCUCAGGACGAACGCUGGCGGCGUGCUUAACACAUGCAAGUCGAGCGGAGAAUAUAGCAAUAUAUUCUUAGCGGCGGACGGGUGAGUAACGCGUGGGCAAUCUGCCUCAUACAGGGGGAUAACACUGGGAAACUAGUGCUAAUACCGCAUAAAAUAAUGAAGUGGCAUCACUUUAUUAUCAAAGGAGCAAUCCGGUGUGAGAUGAGCCCGCGUCCGAUUAGCUAGUUGGAGGGGUAACGGCCCACCAAGGCGACGAUCGGUAGCCGAACUGAGAGGUUGAUCGGCCACAUUGGGACUGAGACACGGCCCAGACUCCUACGGGAGGCAGCAGUGGGGAAUAUUGCGCAAUGGGGGAAACCCUGACGCAGCAACGCCGCGUGAAGGAUGAAGGUUUUCGGAUUGUAAACUUCUUUGAUUGGGGACGAUAAUGACGGUACCCAAAAAACAAGCCACGGCUAACUACGUGCCAGCAGCCGCGGUAAUACGUAGGUGGCAAGCGUUGUCCGGAUUUACUGGGUGUAAAGGGCGUGUAGGCGGGGAUGCAAGUCAGAUGUGAAAUUCCGGGGCUCAACCCCGGCGCUGCAUCUGAAACUGUAUCUCUUGAGUGCUGGAGAGGAAAGCGGAAUUCCUAGUGUAGCGGUGAAAUGCGUGGAUAUUAGGAGGAACACCAGUGGCGAAGGCGGCUUUCUGGACAGUAACUGACGCUGAGGCGCGAAAGCGUGGGGAGCGAACAGGAUUAGAUACCCUGGUAGUCCACGCCGUAAACGAUGGAUACUAGGUGUAGGAGGUAUCGACCCCUUCUGUGCCGGAGUUAACACAAUAAGUAUCCCACCUGGGGAGUACGGCCGCAAGGUUGAAACUCAAAUGAAUUGACGG
rnacentral:rRNA from 1 species